GGGUGAUGGGAGCGGGGGAGUAGAGAGGGAGAGAGGAGCUGGAUAUGAGACUCUACUAGACACUACUCCACUGGCUCCACACCAGAUCACCUGCCUAGAGAAGCGGGUGGUGGCGCUGCAGGCUGAACUGCAGUCUCUCUCUGAGGAGAACCAGAGACAGGCUGAGGAGCUGGCAGUGUGGAGGCUGACGGCCCAGACCCCCUGUCUGGACCCAGAGGACCCCAUCGCUGCUACCCUCAGCCCUGCUCCCCUCAGCCCUGUACACAACACUGCUCCCCUCAGCCCUGGACACAACACUGUGACUGUGAUCAGGGAGGAUGAGCUGCUUCUCUCCUGCACCUCCAAUAGACUCUAUGGGAGGACCCUGGCCUCAAGGUUUUGCUGACAUCCCCAGUGGUCCAGCCUGUCCGUACAUCGUGAGGAGGUGGCUCCUGGGUACUGAUCCUGGCCAGAGGGAGGGGGGGCAGGAGGACCCUGAUUAACCCCCAACAGAUCCACUGGGAGACCGUCAGAGAGAGUCCAUUUCACUGGACCUACUGCAUACCACCUGAUGUACUGACCCUUGGUACUGGAACAUAGAGAUCAAACAAAACUCUUUUCAUCUCUGUCUACUGAAACACCUAGACCUGAAGAGGGACAACAACUUUCACCUACUGACGUUUCAGAAGAGGCCUUUCAUUGAGUUUAACCACAGCUCAUUGGUUUCUCAUCACCCACUAUAGUACUGUUCUUAACAAAUCUGUUUAACCACGGCUCAUUGGUUUCUCAGCACCCACUACAGUACUGUUCUUAACAAAUCUGUUUAACCACGGCUCAUUGGUUUCUCAGCACCCACUACAGUACUGUUCUUAACAAAUCUGUUUAACCACGGCUCAUUGGUUUCUCAGCACCCACUACAGUACUGUUCUUAACAAAUCUGUUUAACCACGGCUCAUUGGUUUCUCAGCACCCACUACAGUACUGUUCUUAACAAAUCUGUUUAACCACGGCUCAUUGGUUUCUCAUCACCCACUACAGUACUGUUCUUAACAAAUCUGUUUAACCACGGCUCAUUGGUUUCUCAGCACCCACUACAGUACUGUUCUUAACAAAUCUGUUUAACCACGGCUCAUUGGUUUCUCAGCACCCACUACAGUACUGUUCUUAACAAAUCUGUUUAACCACGGCUCAUUGGUUUCUCAGCACCCACUACAGUACUGUUCUUAACAAAUCUGUUUAACCACGGCUCAUUGGUUUCUCAGCACCCACUACAGUACUGUUCUUAACAAAUCUGUUUAACCACGGCUCAUUGGUUUCUCAGCACCCACUACAGUACUGUUCUUAACAAAUCUGUUUAACCACGGCUCAUUGGUUUCUCAGCACCCACUACAGUACUGUUCUUAACAAAUCUGUUUAACCACGGCUCAUUGGUUUCUCAGCACCCACUACAGUACUGUUCUUAACAAAUCUGUUUAACCACGGCUCAUUGGUUUCUCAGCACCCACUACAGUACUGUUCUUAACAAAUCUGUUUAACCACGGCUCAUUGGUUUCUCAGCACCCACUACAGUACUGUUCUUAACAAAUCUACUGAUAAAGAUUUCAUUGAUGUGCUGUUAAUUAGAAAUUGUGCUUGACGCCAAGGUUAUGAUUUAUCGUAUGGGUUAGGCCAUGGUCAGUGGUAAGUUGUAAAAACUAAAACUACUGUUUGAGUUGCCUUAUUUAUAGACUUUUGAAUGUGUCAGUGUGUGUGUUCAUAUCGGCUUUUAUAAGCAGUUGGUGUACAUUUUUAGGGAGUAUGUGUGUUGGUUUGUACAAAACUGUGUGUACAAGGCUGAGUACGUACUGCAUGUGUAGGAUGAUGUGUGGGUCGUUAUGUUUCCUCAAUGUUAGCGUGUGCCUGUGUAUGACUCAACCUAACCUGAGCUUGUUUCCUCUCCUUGUAUGGCGAUCCACUGGGAGCGCUCCCUCUCUUCCCCUCCCUCUCUUCCCCUCCCUUUCUUCCUCCCCUUUUCUUUCCUUCCACUUAGAAACGUUUUAAAACUCGCACCCUCACACCGUGUUAAGUUUACGCAAGUGCCAGACACUUAUGAGGGCUAUUUUCUUCUGUUGAUACGCUUUAUUUAAAUUGUGCAGUUUUAGUCUUUAAAAUAAAAUAUGUUUUUGUUUUUUGUAGAUUUAAUAUAUUUGAACUUUUUGAGAUAUUUUUGCCCACGUUAAUUAUUGUGCCUAAGAUUUGUGCCUUAGGCUUCUAGAUUUUCAGUUGGAACAAACUGCCCUGGUUUGAAACAAUAUUCAGUUAAGAGAUUGUAUAUCAGAACAAUUUAUAGCAAAUGUAGUUCUGGUACUGCCACCCUCGAUGUGCUUUGAGGAAGUGUGCACUUGUAUAUGUGAGUGUUUAGUGUGAAUGAAACCUUCCUCCAUUACAAAUCCACUAUACUCCAACCACCUUUCAGAGCUGAGGUUUAUUACAGUGUUACUUAGAUCAAUCUGAGUUGUCAUUUGUUUUUGUUGUGGUCUAAAAAUCUCUCAACCACUCCUAUUUGUUUUUAACACAGCUAAAUAAAUU